rnacentral:rRNA from 1 species
UGCAAGUCGAACGAUGAAGGAGGAGCUUGCUCCUCUGGAUUAGUGGCGAACGGGUGAGUAACACGUGAGCAAUCUGCCCCUGACUCUGGGAUAAGCGCUGGAAACGGCGUCUAAUACCGGAUACGAGCCGAGCAGGCAUCUGCAGCGGCUGGAAAGAACUUCGGUCAGGGAUGAGCUCGCGGCCUAUCAGCUAGUUGGUGAGGUAAUGGCUCACCAAGGCGACGACGGGUAGCCGGCCUGAGAGGGUGACCGGCCACACUGGGACUGAGACACGGCCCAGACUCCUACGGGAGGCAGCAGUGGGGAAUAUUGCACAAUGGGCGAAAGCCUGAUGCAGCAACGCCGCGUGAGGGACGAAGGCCUUCGGGUUGUAAACCUCUUUUAGCAGGGAAGAAGCGAAAGUGACGGUACCUGCAGAAAAAGCACCGGCUAACUACGUGCCAGCAGCCGCGGUAAUACGUAGGGUGCGAGCGUUAUCCGGAAUUAUUGGGCGUAAAGAGCUCGUAGGCGGUCUGUCGCGUCUGCUGUGAAAUCCCGAGGCUCAACCUCGGGCUUGCAGUGGGUACGGGCAGACUAGAGUGCGGUAGGGGAGAUUGGAAUUCCUGGUGUAGCGGUGGAAUGCGCAGAUAUCAGGAGGAACACCGAUGGCGAAGGCAGAUCUCUGGGCCGUUACUGACGCUGAGGAGCGAAAGCGUGGGGAGCAAACAGGCUUAGAUACCCUGGUAGUCCACGCCGUAAACGUUGGGAACUAGAUGUGGGGACCAUUCCACGGUCUCCGUG